GAUGUUCCUGGAGACUCACUGCUGUUGGGAGCCUGAGAAGAGUACAGAGAUUUGGGUUACAAACUGCUUGGUGUCUAUGCAGUGUGGCGGCAGCAGAUGGAAACCAGGGUAAUGACACAAACGAUGAAGACACAGCCUCCGCCCACCGAUGCGCCAAUGAUGAUUAGCAAGGGGAGGGCCUCUGCAAGGGAAACAGGGAAUGUGACUGAGCUGAAUUACAUCUACAUUUUCAGUUGCAGGGAUAAUCUGGCAUGAGGACCCCAUACCUUGCUCUUCAAGAGUGACCAGUGUCGUGCCUGUACCGAAGCGGU